GAGUACAGGAACUUUUCAAGGAAGGUCCUUCAGAGACCUCCCUCACUUCUUCAUUGGCUGCAAGUGAUCCAUUGGGAAAAGCAGACUAAAUCAACGUCUAGAAAACUCAUUCGUGAAGUUUGGUGAAAUUACAAGGAAUUAUUAGACUCAUUAGAAAGGAGUGGGUACUCCCUGAAAAUGAAAUUUUGCCUUCAAGAAAAAAAAGUGUUUUGUUAGCAGUGUGUGAUAAGUUAUAAUAAUGACCACAGUAACUGACAUUUGUUGAAUGAAUACUCUGUUUAGCAUAGUAUACUCAAUGGUUAAGUGCAAUCCUCCAUUCAGUAAACAUGCCAGAUGUAUAGCAGAUACACAUUCUGAAGCUCACUCAAGGAAAUAGAUAUGUUCAGGUUCAUACAGAUAAUAAAUGACAGGAAGGAGCAGAAAUGUAAAGCAAAGCUCUCUGUCCAUCAGGCCGUUGCUGUUUCUGGUGUUUCCCAGGGAAGGCCUUGAAAGAGCUUUAGCUUUCAAAGCCUCAGAGAUCAUACAGUGAUGUAUUUCAUGAGUUGAAUGAACGGUUUGUUAGGGCCAUCAUGGUUACUUCCUUUAUUGUGUAAUAGACUUAUCUAAACACAGCACUUGCUGGUUGCAAACUUUCUUGUAAUUGGGAUACAAGAGCUGCCUUCAAAUCUCUCCCAGCCUUACCAUUAAUGAUCUGUUUAAGAUCAUUCAAAGUCUAGAUUUCAUUGUCAGUUAAACUGAGUCAGAGAAAACUAGAAACUGCGCAUUGUGGCUGAUGCCAUCAAUUUAAGGUGUGAGUUUGGGAAAUUUAACCAUGACUUAUUUCUUCUCCUUACAGGCCAAUACCACCAUUAGUGAAGGGCUGUUCUGUAUCUGUGGACAGUAUUUUUGCUUCCCCACUGGUCUGGAUACAUAUUCUGAAAUAGUAACCUAUGGUACAAUGGAUGUGGAUUGUGUGAUAUCUAGGUUGGAUAUAUACCAUACUGCCAGAAUAAAUGGUCUAAAAGAAUAAAAAAU
rnacentral:lncRNA from 1 species